rnacentral:rRNA from 1 species
GAUGAACGCUAGCGGCAGGCCUAAUACAUGCAAGUCGGACGGGAUCCAUUGAUAGCUUGCUAUCAAUGGUGAGAGUGGCGCACGGGUGCGUAACGCGUGAGCAACCUGCCUCCAUCAGGGGGAUAGCCUCUCGAAAGAGAGAUUAACACCGCAUAAUAUCAACAGUUCGCAUGUUCAGUUGAUUAAAUAUUUAUAGGAUGGAGAUGGGCUCGUGUGACAUUAGCUAGUUGGUAGGGUAACGGCUUACCAAGGCGACGAUGUCUAGGGGCUCUGAGAGGAGAAUCCCCCACACUGGUACUGAGACACGGACCAGACUCCUACGGGAGGCAGCAGUAAGGAAUAUUGGUCAAUGGGCGGAAGCCUGAACCAGCCAUGCCGCGUGCAGGAUGACUGCCCUAUGGGUUGUAAACUGCUUUUGUCCAGGAAUAAACCUAAAUACGAGUAUUUAGCUGAAUGUACUGGAAGAAUAAGGAUCGGCUAACUCCGUG